rnacentral:SRP_RNA from 2 species
GCCUGGUGUGGUGGCGGGCACCUGUAAUCCCAGCUACUUGGAAGGCUGAGGUGGGAGGAUCACUUGAGCCCAGGAGGUUGAGGCUGCAGUGAGCCAUGAUCAUGCCACUGCACUCAGCCUGGGCUACAGAGUGAGACCCUGUCUCAA